AUCUUGGGAAUGUCCCACAGUCUCGAGGCACUGUGGCCAUCCCUGGCUGCACUCAGCUUCCUUAGAAGAAACACCUGUCUCCUAGGAGGGGAGACAGGACCAGGGGACCUCCCGGUACCUUCCAGGUUGUAGGCACUCUUCAACAUGUCAGAUCUUUGGCUAUCUCUAUUCACUUUAAGACUGAAGCACCGAAAACUACCAGGAAGCUCCAGAGCAUGUGGAUAUGGCCAUGGGGUGGUGAGGGAUCUUAGUUCUAAGACCAGGGAUCGAACCCAGGCCACAGUGGUGAAAGCACCAAGUCCUAACCACUAGACCACCCAGCAACUCCCCUGGAACAUAGUGCUGGGGACUGAGUGCUGAACUAAGCAGACAAAGACCCCAGCCUUCAUGAAACUCGCUGUCUUCAUGUUUCACCCACAGAUGCUUGGGGUGCAUCAGAGUCUUUAGAAACAAGAGGAUCCCAUUCUAAUGCAGGUCCCAGCAAAGUGCAGGAGGGAGAAGGAGAAAACAAAUGUAAUAAAUGCCUCCUUCCUGCCAACUGGUCAAUUUUGGAAAUUUGCACCUCAAAGUAGAUGGUUUCACAUGCCGUGCCCACCCCCCCUUCUUGCUCCCCACUGGAGCAGCAGGGAACCCUGGCAACAUUGGGCCUUUGCUGAACUGGAGCUGAAAGCAUCUGCCCCCUUAAUGAAGAAAUCAGUUCAUCCACAAAACUACAGGAUUGCAUGUCAAGAGGGCAAGAAAGGAAAUGAGGCUCAUCCAGCUGAUGCGUCCUUUCCUUAACAUCUGAUGGGAUGGACCUUGUGGCCCUUUCCAAAUCUAUUUUAUGAUUAACUAUUUCAUGCUCUUAUAAAGUAUGCCAGCUUUUGAUUCCAAGGCUGUGCUUGGCUUUGCCAGCCUGAGUGUCGGGACACCCUCCCUGCUCUGAUGAUCACCAGGUGAUUCUUGGCAGGGUCAUGAUUUGCCUUUGUUUAUAAAAUAAAACUUGUGAUUUUGUUCUUUUAGGGAAAUGGGGUAUAGUGAGUGUCCAGCUACUGGAUACAUCCCCCAUCUGUCCUGCAAUCAUACUCCUAUUACACAAUAAAGACUUAUUUUGAAUUAUAAAUCUUAUAUUCCAUACUCCCCUUUAGACAAACAUAGACAUUUUAGUUUGACACAAUCCCUGCUAGUAUUUAUUGCCUCCUUAAUGCUGGGGUUGACUUUUGGUUGCCUUUUAUUAUCAUCCUCCUAUUGUUAAACAAUUGUGCUUUUUUUUAUGAUAGUGAAAUAUUUUUCUUUACGCAUAUUCUCAUGUCUCCCUAAAGGUGGUAAGGCUGAAAGCUAGACAGAGGAAGCCAUGUACCUAAAAAAACUAGAAGGUAUUUCUUUGUGGAAUAAAAGCUUUUUAUAUGCU
rnacentral:lncRNA from 1 species